rnacentral:lncRNA from 1 species
AUGCGAGGCCCUGCUAGGCGAGAGCAACCCCUCGCUCAGCGGUUGCAGUGCUGUGUGCAUGGUGCUGGGCAAAGUCCAGAGCUGCUGCCUGCAGAUGGCAGUGCCUGCACAGAGCUGGUGCGUGGUGUGGAGCCGUGCCCGGGGCUGGGGAAGCAAAGGGAGUUCUUCCUGAGGGCACCUCUUGUCGCAUUCUCUGGCCUCCUGGGAGACCUGUGCAGCCUCUCUGGGCCGGGGGCUGCAGCUGUCCUGCCACAGACGAGGCCUCAGGUGCACCCCCCGAACCAGCGGGGACGUGCGGCCGAGCUCUGCGGGCGUCGCCGUACCUGCGAGGGCUCCCAGAGCGUGCCACGAGGGGCUGUGCUGCCAAGCCCUGUCCUGUCACGUGGCCAAGCCCCAGGGGGAUGCUUCUCCGCAGGGAGUUUCCCCCAUCCCCUCCUCAUCACUCUCACACCCCACAGCCCCCUCAUUCCUGUUUCUGAGUUGCCCUCUGCAUCCCAAGGGCUCUGGUCCAGCCUUUGCUGGGUCACCCAUGCCUGGCUCUGCUCGUCUCAUGAGCGUGGAGGUAAGCGGCCUUGUCCCGGGAACGAUUUUUUUAAAAAGCUGCUGGCUUUCAGGUGUGUUUGCUGCUGUUGCUGCUCAGCUCCGGUCUGGGCUCCCUGGGCAUCACCAUGUCCAAAGGGACCAUGGGUGCUACUGCAGGACGGUCCAUGCUGGAGGGGCCAUGCGUGGCCCAGCCUGCCGCAGGGAGGUAACGCCAGCAGCGGGUGGCAAGGGGCUUUUUUUCCUCCGGUGUCUGUAACUCAGAGCAGUGAGAACGGACAGGCAGAGCUGGUUCCCGGACGCUGCCAAACCUGCUGUGGGUGGGGCACCGUGGAGAGGAAGAGCGYGGCAGGGCAGCGAAGGCUGGCAGCGGGCUCCAGCCGAGGCGGCCGCGUGAAGGCUGCUCUGCCCUCCCCAGCCCGCCCCUGCCCGGCCCUGCAGCUGCCUCCCAGCUCGCGCUUCUGCCACCGCGUUGCUGAGUCUGCAGGUGGCCCCGGGGCCCUGCAGCGCUCCGCAGACGCGGGGGCAAGCGGGCAGGGUGACGGCCCCCGGGGGCACCGGCGCGGGGCCUGCCGGGGCAGGUGGGCGCGCGAGGGCUCAGGUGGCAGCAAGGAAAGUCCCCCGCCUGCACGGCCCAGCUCGCCUCGGAGUUUCCAGCCUGAAACCAGGGCUCGCUCUGCAGCUGGGAAAAUGUUUUCAGAACUUCCCGCGAGACAGAAGUUCGUCAGCCUGCAGCCUCCGAAGGAGAUGUUGCCGGGGGAUUUCGGGGCCGGGCUGGAGGCCACGGCAGGGGGUGUGUGGGGCCAGCCAGCCGCUCAGGCCCGCCUGCUUCUCCUUAUCUUUUCCCCUGCCUGCAGCCCCCCGGCUGACCUGCCAGGGAGCCUUUCGCCUGCCUGUCAGCUGGAACCGCACCCCGGCAGGCCCUCCGCCCCGCUCCCCCGCGUGUGCCCAGCGCCCGGGCUGCUCGGGUGUUCGUAG